UACGAAGGGGGCUAGCGUUGUUCGGAUUUACUGGGCGUAAAGCGCACGUAGGCGGAUCGAUCAGUCAGGGGUGAAAUCCCAGGGCUCAACCCUGGAACUGCCUUUGAUACUGUCGAUCUGGAGUAUGGAAGAGGUGAGUGGAAUUCCGAGUGUAGAGGUGAAAUUCGUAGAUAUUCGGAAGAACACCAGUGGCGAAGGCGGCCCGCUGGACAAGUAUUGACGCUGAGGUGCGAAAGCGUGGGGAGCAAACAGG
rnacentral:rRNA from 1 species